CCCAGACUCCUACGGGAGGCAGCAGUGGGGAAUAUUGGGCAAUGGAGGCAACUCUGACCCAGCAACGCCGCGUGAAUGAUGAAGGUCUUCGGAUUGUAAAGUUCCUUUCUAAGGGAAGAAGAAAGUGACGGUACCUUAGGAAUAAGCCUCGGCUAAAUACGUGCCAGCAGCCGCGGUAAUACGUAUGGAGCAAGCGUUAUCCGGAUUUACUGGGUGUAAAGGGAGCGCAGACGGCAGGGCAAGUCUGAUGUGAAAGUCCGGGGCUCAACCCCGGGACUGCAUUGGAAACUGUCCGGCUAGAGUGCAGGAGAGGUAAGUGGAAUUCCUAGUGUAGCGGUGAAAUGCGUAGAUAUUAGGAGGAACACCAGUGGCGAAGGCGGCUUACUGGACUGUAACUGACGUUGAGGCUCGAAAGCGUGGGGAGCAAACAGGAUUAGAUACCCUCGUACAG
rnacentral:rRNA from 1 species